CGGCCGCGGUAUCCUGACCGUGCAAAGGUAGCAUAAUCAUUUGUUCCUUAAUUAGGGACUAGUAUGAAUGGCCACACGAGGGUUUAACUGUCUCUUAUUUCUAAUCAGUGAAAUUGACCUUCCCGUGAAGAGGCGGGAAUAACAAAAUAAGACGAGAAGACCCUAUGGAGCUUAAAUUACCCCAUGGAUAAAUUUCGGUUGGGGUGACCUCGGAGUAUAAAACAACCUCCGAGCGAUUCCAAGGAUUGACGAAUCAAAGUCAAUCAAAUUGAUCAACGAAACAAGUUACCCUAGGGAUAACAGCGCAAUCCUAUUCAAGAGUCCUUAUCGACAAUAGGGUUUACGACCUCGAUGUUGGAUCAGGACAUCCUAAUGGUGCAGCAGCU
rnacentral:rRNA from 1 species